UCCUGUUGGAAGACACAAUGGUCCCUGGAUUAACCAUCGGCGCCCCUGUGUCUUUUCUAGUACUUGCGUGGGUGACCCUGCUCAUUCCCCUAGGACCUCUUCACAGAGCGCAACAGAGACUCUUGGGGCCACACCUCUGUGUUCAAUUCUUCUUCAGACUGGAGAAGCCUUCUAACGUGGCCAUUCCUUGAGAGAGCAGUUCCUUACUCAGACCCUAACUGCUAGACACUGGGAAGCUGCAACUGGGUUUCAGACUGAGACCUUGGGGGCAGAGCCCAUUGGGGACAGGAGCUUCAAGGAACAGCUGCUAUCCCUCCCCACACCAGCUGGGCCUCAGGGCCACAGGGCUCAGGGGACAGAAGGCUCAGCUGGAGUUCACAAGAGUUACUCACACAGGGAUCAUUAGGCUUCCAACUGCCAUCUGCACAGGAGAGGGGGGGCGGGGCUCUCAAAUAGAACAGAAGUCAUGGGAAGAUAGCAACUGGCCAAUGGGAUUUCAUACUUGGGAAGAAGAGGGAGCAAGGGAUGGCGGGACAAGGGUGAGGUAGAACGGAGGAAGGACUUUAGACAGCAAGGCCGGGAGAGCAGAGCUUAUAUACCCUCUGUUACGGAACAGCAGGAAGCUAUUCCAGAGCCUAGAUCAUGCUCCCACCCCAGUGUGCGGAUUAACUCAGAACCCGGAGCCCAAGGAGCACAACACAUCCAGAUGCAAAGGCACGAGCCUCGACCUACCUCAGGCUCUGCACAGAACACGCACCCUUGACCCCAUAGUAUCAACCCAGGGCUAGAGGCGGCAAGUGAGAGGGCAGAGCGCUAGAAACCUCGCCGGCGCCAUCUGCAGAGAGAGUCCCAAGGUGGAGUGGUGCCCCAAACCCAGCACAGCCACCAGGAAAACUCAACGAGAGCCGCCCUUCCAUGGGUCUCUAACAAGACCUGGAGCUCACCGAUGUAUCUAAGCAAGACCUGGCGAUCUUUGCCUGCCUGCUUCCCUUAUUCUGAGGUUACAGGCAUGUGUCCCCAUGAGUGUCCUCUUACAUAUAUAGUGGGGAUCCAGUUCAGGUCUUCAAGCCUGACCAACAAGCUCUUCCCUGCCAGAGUCAUCUGCCCGGGCCCAAAGCAAGCGCUUUCUCAAACUGCAGUGGAACAGUAGAGAAAGACGAAGAGGAACAGCAUAGGGCCAGCUAGAGGGGUGAGAAUGGCUACACUGUAUGUCAGCCUUGGAACUUGGGGUUGAAGCAGACAUCAGACUCUUUGAGCACAGAGAGAAUCAGAGGGAAAAGACUCAAGGUCGCCGGAGUGCUGUUUGCUUUUGCCUUUAAAUAUGGGCUCCCCUCAUGCCCACUGUGCUCUCGCAACGCUAUCCCGGGACAACUGCUAGGACUGCACAGCACUACACAAGCAGAUGGCGUAUACAUAGGGUAUAAGGCAACUUAGACAGCCGUUUUGUGAUCAGCACCAGACAGAAGGAAACAGAAGGAUUUCUUCCUUGGAAACUGAAAACGAAAGCCAGCACCUAAGAAUCCUAGGUAUGGGUGCCCCACAGCCACAUCUCCCUGGUUUCACCUGAGCUAAGAACACUGACAAAUGUUUGAAGCCCAGUCUAAAAUUAGACUUAUCUGUAUUCUACACCGAAAUGAGCGAUUCGAAAUCCUACUGUAAAUAUUAGUCACGUGACUUUCUGAUGUUUGCUGUCCUUCCACUGUAGGGUGGCGAAGCUGACUAAGCCUGUGGCAUAUGCCAGUAAUAUCAGCAUAGGGAGAGACUGAGAUAGAAGGGUUACAAGUUCAAGACCAAACUAAGCUAGAAAUGCUGACUCAAAAUAGAUGGGGCAGGCAGUAAGGCUGCAGGGAUGACUUAGCAGUUAAGGCAGUGACUCCUAGAGGAGCAGUAGCACCCAUAGGUGUCUCUAACUUCAGCUCCUGGAGAUCAAAUGCCCUUUCCCUGCCCUCGGUGGGCACCCCUACAAAGGAGGCAUAUACUCCACUCAGCUGCAUAAAUAAAAAAUAAAUGUUUGAGAACGGUAAAGUGGUAAAGUGUUUGCCUUGCACCCGAGUUCCACGCUCUGGAGCUCAACAGUUCUUUGGUUGUUGUGGAUUUUGUUUUUUUGAAGUUGGGUUUCGUGGUUUGUGCUCACAAUUCACAGCACCGAGGAGGAGGAUCCAGGCUCAUUACUGACGCCCACUGGC
rnacentral:sRNA from 1 species